rnacentral:rRNA from 1 species
UAAUACGAAGGGGGCGAGCGUUGUUCGGAAUUACUGGGCGUAAAGGGCGCGUAGGCGGCGCCGGAAGUCAGAUGUGAAAGCCCCGGGCUCAACCUGGGAACUGCAUUUGAUACUCUGGUGCUGGAGUUCGGGAGAGGAGAGUGGAAUUCCCAGUGUAGAGGUGAAAUUCGUAGAUAUUGGGAAGAACACCGGUGGCGAAGGCGGCUCUCUGGACCGAAACUGACGCUGAGGCGCGAAAGCGUGGGGAGCAAACAGGAUUAGAUACCCUGGUAGUCCACGCUGUAAACGAUGUGUGCCAGACGUUGGGUGACCUAGUCACUCGGUGUCGUCGCUAACGCUUUAAGCACACCGCCUGGGGAGUACGGCCGCAAGGUUA